rnacentral:tRNA from 1 species
AUUACUUUGGCAGAUUAGUGCAGUAAAUUUAGAAUUUAUUUAAAUAAAUUUUAUUUAUAAGUAAUA